UACGAAGGGGGCUAGCGUUGUUCGGAAUUACUGGGCGUAAAGCGCGCGCAGGCGGUCCUUCAAGUCAGAGGUGAAAGCCCAGAGCUCAACUCUGGAAUGGCCUUUGAGACUAGAGGACUUGGGUACGGGAGAGGUGAGUGGAAUUCCGAGUGUAGAGGUGAAAUUCGUAGAUAUCCGGAGGAACACCGGUGGCGAAGGCGGCUUCCUGGACCGACACUGACGCUGAGGCGCGAAAGCUAGGGGAGCAAACGGG
rnacentral:rRNA from 1 species